UCUGGUGUCGCCCAACAGGCAGGGCCCGCGGCCGUUAACCGCGUGAUCGGGGUUCGAAUCCCUGCGCCAGAG
rnacentral:tRNA from 1 species